GAUUAUGGCUCAGGAUGAACGCUAGCUACAGGCUUAACACAUGCAAGUCGAGGGGCAGCAUUGGGGUAGCAAUACUUCAGAUGGCGACCGGCGCACGGGUGAGUAACACGUAUCCAACCUGCCGCUUACUCGGGGAUAGCCUUUCGAAAGAAAGAUUAAUACCCGAUGGUAUAAAGAGUUCGCAUGUUCUCUUUAUUAAAGAAUUUCGGUAAGCGAUGGGGAUGCGUUCCAUUAGAUUGUUGGCGGGGUAACGGCCCACCAAGUCUACGAUGGAUAGGGGUUCUGAGAGGAAGGUCCCCCACAUUGGAACUGAGACACGGUCCAAACUCCUACGGGAGGCAGCAGUGAGGAAUAUUGGUCAAUGGACGAGAGUCUGAACCAGCCAAGUAGCGUGAAGGAUGACUGCCCUAUGGGUUGUAAACUUCUUUUAUAAGGGAAUGAAGUGAGGGACGUGUCCCUUUUUGUAUGUACCUUAUGAAUAAGGAUCGGCUAACUCCGUGCCAGCAGCGGC
rnacentral:rRNA from 1 species